rnacentral:rRNA from 1 species
CCUACGGGAGGCAGCAGUGAGGAAUAUUGGUCAAUGGGCGAGAGCCUGAACCAGCCAAGUCGCGUGAGGGAGUACUGUACUAAGGGUUGUAAACCUCUUUUGUCGGGGAGCAAAAGCUGGACGUGUUCGGCUGAUAGAGUUCCCGGAGAAAAAGAAUCGGCUUACCCCGUGCCAGCAGCCGCCGUAAUACGGAGGAUGCGAGCGUUAUCCGGAUUUUAUGGGUUUAAAGGGUGCGCAGGCGGAUUUUUAAGUUAGCGGUCAAAUCGUGGGGCUCAACCCCAUCCAGCCGUUGAAACUGGGGAUCUAGAGUGGGCGAGAGGUAUGCGGAAUGCGUGGUGUAGCGGUGAAAUGCAUAGAUAUCACGCAGAACCCCGAUUGCGAAGGCAGCAUACCGGUGCACAACUGACGCUCAGGCACGAAAGCGUGGGUAUCGAACAGGAUUAGAUACCCUAGUAGUC